AGCGAACGCUGGCGGCAGGCCUAACACAUGCAAGUCGAACGGCCCUUCGGGGUAGUGGCGGACGGGUGAGUAACGCGUGGGAAUGUGCCCUUUGGUACGGAACAACUGAGGGAAACUUCAGCUAAUACCGUAUGUGCCCUUCGGGGGAAGAUUUAUCGCCAUUGGAGCAGCCCGCGUUGGAUUAGGUAGUUGGUGGGGUAAAGGGCCUACCAAGCCUACGAUCCAUAGCUGGUCUGAGAGGAUGAUCAGCCACAUUGGGACUGAGACACGGCCCAAACUCCUACGGGAGGCAGCAGUGGGGAAUCUUGCGCAAUGGGCGAAAGCCUGACGCAGCCAUGCCGCGUGUAUGAUGAAGGUCUUAGGAUUGUAAAAUACUUUCACCGGGGAAGAUAAUGACGGUACCGGAGAAGAAGCCCCGGCGUAACUUCGUGCCAGCAGCCGCGGUAAU
rnacentral:rRNA from 1 species